rnacentral:rRNA from 1 species
GACGAACGCUGGCGGCGUGCUUAACACAUGCAAGUCGAGCGGUAAGGCCCUUUCGGGGGUACGACGAGCGGCGAACGGGUGAGUAACACGUGGGUGACCUGCCCUUAGCUCUGGGAUAAGCCUGGGAAACUGGGUCUAAUACCGGAUAUGACUCCAUGACGCAUGUUGUGGGGUGGAAAGCCUUGUGCGGCUAGGGAUGGGCCCGCGGCCUAUCAGCUUGUUGGUGGGGUGAUGGCCACCAAGGCGACGACGGGUAGCCGGCCUGAGAGGGCGACCGGCCACACUGGGACGUGAGACACGGCCCACGACUCCUACGGGAGGCAGCAGUGGGGAAUCUUGCGCAAUGGGCGAAAGCCUGACGCAGCGACGCCGCGUGAGGGAUGACGGCCU